AUGGAUGAGCAGGUAACGUAGGUGCAUCCUAGUCAAAGACAUAGGUGAGUUGAUCAGAGCUAAGAAUGAUUCUCAAAUUCUAGAGCCAGUCUUUAUAGUUGGUACUAGUCAACCUAUUGAUAUUUAGGAUACGAGCUAAAAGAUUGGAACUUGAUAUGGUUAUCUGCAAAGAGAAUAGUUUUUAGUUAGAUGUUUGUACUUAUAAAAAUAUUUAUUUUAGAAACUUUAAAAACAAACAAAAGCUCCCAUUAUUUUCUCAAAUCUUUCACACUCCUUGGGUGAAAAAAUGAAAAUCUAUACGCGAUUGAUUUCAAGUGGGUACUAUGGUCCCAUUAAUCUAUACAUACCUCACCUAACAUUAUUGGUGAGUACAGAUCAAUAAGUGGACAAUACUUUGUCCAUUGCUUCAUUAAGCAAGAUGCAGUGUACUUGGUCUCUAAAUCUUGUGGCCUCACUUAACAGUUAUUGGCACAUUUCUUAGUUAAGUCAGGCCCAUCAUUCACCAACAGGUGCAAAGCCAUCAUUGGGACCCUCAUCUAAUAGUUAUUGAGUCUAACCCCAUCUCUACCUCAGGAUAUCAAAUAUCAAUAGAGUGGUUGUACCUUUCUGAUGUAAUCGAACCACUGUAAUCAGUCGAGAACGAUCAACGUCAGAAAGACAUCUGCAUCUCUACAACGAUGGAAGAUCUCUAGACUUAAUAUUUAAUGAGGAGAUUUAAGUUUAGAUCUCUUCUAAAUUAGCAGAUUUGACAUCCAACUGAUUAAAUUCAAAUCAGCACAUCAACAUGUCUAACUAGCCU
rnacentral:lncRNA from 1 species